rnacentral:rRNA from 1 species
GUGAGGAAUAUUGCACAAUGGGCGAAAGCCUGAUGCAGCAACGCCGCGUGAGGGACGAAGGCCUUCGGGUCGUAAACCUCUUUUCUGAGGGAAGAGCGAGGACGGUACCUCGGGAAUAAGUCUCGGCUAACUACGUGCCAGCAGCCGCGGUAAAACGUAGGAGGCGAGCGUUAUCCGGAUUUACUGGGCGUAAAGCGUGCGCAGGCGGCUUUGUGAGUCGGAUGUGAAAGCUCCCGGCUUAACUGGGAGAGGUCAUUCGAUACUGCGAGGCUUGAGGUUGGGAGAGGGGUGCGGAAUUCCCGGUGUAGUGGUGGAAUGCGUAGAUAUCGGGAGGAACACCUGUGGCGAAAGCGGCACCCUGGCCCACACCUGACGCUGAGGUACGAAAGCGUGGGUAGCAAACAGGAUUAGAAACCCCGGUAGUCC